CUUGUCUUGUUGUUAGCUAGGACUUCCAGUAAGAUGUUGAAAAGGAAAAGUGAGAAGAAACAUCCUUGCCUUGUUCCUGAAGAAUGGCAGUCUUUUUAGCAGUCUAGAAACAGACUGGAUGCAAUGUUGUUAUGGAAUAAGAUUUUUUUCCUGCUCUAGAAUUCAACAUUCCUAAAACCUAACAACUCAAAGUGUGGCUGAGGACCAACAGCAUCAGCACUUCCUGACCUCUUGGAAAAAAUGCACAACCUCAGGCCCAACCCAGACACCAGAAGCUGCAUUUAAAAAGAUCUCUAUGCCAUCUAUAUGCACAUUAAAGCUUGAGAAGUCCUGAUUUAGAAUAUUAUGCUUUCAUCCACCAACUGUAGCAUCUUCCUGAGUACCAUAUACACCAGACCCUAUGCUAGACACUGUGGAUAUUAAGAUAAAUUAUUCCUUCACUGAAGAGUCUUACAGUCUACUAGGAAAGACAGGCAGGCACAUAUGGUGAUAGUUGGGUGAACAGAGUGCUAAGGAAACAAGAAGAGGAAAUAAGUCUGCUUUCUUAAGAUGCUCAGAGGAGAUGGAAAGAUUGACAUUUCCACUGGGCCUUCAAAGAUGGGGAGUGUUCCCCAGCCUUUAACCCUUCAUCUGCGGGCGUUAUGUGGGAACUCUGCUUCGAGUAAGACAAACUUCCCAUGAAGUCUUCAAUUCCACCUACCUAGUCAAAGCAGGUCUACACAGCCCCUGACGGGACCCUUACUCUUGUGCGUUGGGAUCCUCACUAUUUCAUGCCCCACAACAGUCACAUUUUUGCUAAAACUGUAUAACUUGAUUCCACUAGCAUUAAACUCACAAUAUUUCUGCAGUUACCACAGGAAGCCCCAGACUUCCUCAUACCUCCUGGGCUGUCUCCUGAAUAUCAUCUAAUUCUACUCAUGCCCUUUUCAGUCUCUAUCUCACCCUGCCCCCCCCGCCACAAAAUACUUUAGAAUUUGUGGUCCAUCAACAGCAAAAUCUCCUACAUCAUCAACCUCUUUUUUGAGCAUUUCCUUCACCAUUUUACUGUAACAGAAACCUGGAUCUCCCUGAUGAUGCUUUAUUUCCUGAAGCCCUCUCAAGCGGUACUUGUUUUUCUCUCAUAUCCCUAAGACAACUGGGCUUAAACAUAGAGUAUUUUUCCUUUUGGCUUCUCAUUGAUAAUUCCAUACGUCUCUCUAUUUUCUCUAGAACAGAUAAUCUUGACUACAUCUUUUGUUUUUAUUGUCUUCCAGUUCAUCACUACUGUUCCUCAUUGUGUUGUCAUCUACAGAUAUCGGGGCACUCGCUUCAUCUCUGUGAUUUUAACUAUAGUUUCACUGUCAUUCUCUCCUAAUCUACUUAUGUCUUAUUUCUUGGUGAUUUGAAUAUAUACAGAGAUGAUCCUGCCUACUCUCAGUUCCCGUAAAUUCUCCCCUGUGAAGAGUUUGACCAUCAGUUAUCACAACCACUCACUCCUGUGGUCAUACCCUAGACCAUGUCAAUUCCCAUACCUGCAACUUUUCCAUAAUCUCAUUUUCAUAUAUCUCAUUAUUUGAUUACCCCCCCUUCUUUCUAGCUGAUUCCUCUAGAAUUGCCCCACAAUCUAUGACCUUAC